CCCAGUUUGAACUUCCCGAGGGCUUCGUGUACACUGGUGAAGAGAAUAACUUCCCAAUCACCUAAGUCACCCUCCAACAAUGUCCUCAUGAACAGCUCUCUUGGUCUAAAUGUCCCACGUAAGUAAUGUACUGUAAAGUGGCCUAUGACAUUGAAACCCCAUCUACUCGUGGGAAGAAUCAGUAAUUAAAAGGUCAUUCUACUGGAGAAUAUCACACUACGUGAAAUAAGCAAGACACAAAAGGACAAAUAUGCAUGAUUCCAUGUAUGGGAGAAAGCUAUGGUAGUCAAAUUCACAGAGACAGAAAGUAGAUGGGCGGUUGCCAGGGGUUGGGAGGAGAGAGGAAUGAAGAGAUUGGUCUGCAAGAUGAAAAGAUGAAAAGCACUCCAGACAUGGAUGGUGGGGA
rnacentral:lncRNA from 1 species